rnacentral:rRNA from 1 species
AGGGCACCACCAGGAGUGGAGCCUGCGGCUUAAUUUGACUCAACACGGGAAAACUCACCCGGCCCGGACACUGGAAGGAUUGACAGAUUGAGAGCUCUUUCUUGAUUCAGUGGGUGGUGGUGCAUGGCCGUUCUUAGUUGGUGGAGUGAUUUGUCUGGUUAAUUCCGAUAACGAACGAGACUCUAGCCUACUAAAUAGAUCGUCGGCUUACAAACGCCGGCGAGACUUCUUAGAGGGACAGGCGGUGAUUCAACCGCACGAAACAGAGCAAUAACAGGUCUGUGAUGCCCUUAGAUGUCCGGGGCCGCACGCGCGCUACACUGAAGUAAUCAGCGUGCUUUUUCAACCUACUCUGUCAAGAGUGGGGAACCCAAUGAACCUUCUUCGUGAUUGGGAUAGGGGAUUGUAAUUAUUCCCCUUGAACGAGGAAUUCCCAGUAAGCGCGAGUCAUAAGCUCGCGUUGAUUACGUCCCUGCCCUUUGUACACACCGCCCGUCGCUACUACCGAUUGAAUGUUUU